AACGAACGCUGGCGGCGUGCUUAACACAUGCAAGUCGAACGUGAAGAGGACUUCGGUCCUCGGAAAGUGGCGCACGGGUGAGUAACACGUGGAUAAUCUACCCGAUGCUCCGGGAUAACAUCUCGAAGGGUGCUAAUACCGGAUAAGCCCACGGGAUCUUUGGAUCUUGCGGGAAAAGGUGGGGACCUUCGGGCCUACCGACAUCGGAUGAGUCCGCGGCCCAUUAGCUAGUUGGUGGGGUAAUGGCCCACCAAGGCAACGAUGGGUAGCUGGUCUGAGAGGAUGAUCAGCCACGCUGGAACUGAGACACGGUCCAGACUCCUACGGGAGGCAGCAGUGGGGAAUUUUGCGCAAUGGGCGAAAGCCUGACGCAGCAACGCCGCGUGAGUGAUGAAGGCCUUCGGGUCGUAAAGCUCUGUCAGAGGGGAAGAAACUCCUGGAGGCUAAUAUCCUUCAGGCCUGACGGUACCCUCAAAGGAAGCACCGGCUAACUCCGUGCCAGCAGCCGCGGUAAUACGGAGGGUGCAAGCGUUGUUCGGAAUUAUUGGGCGUAAAGCGCGUGUAGGCGGUCUGUUAAGUCUGGUGUGAAAACCCUGGGGCUCAACCCGGGGAAGUGCAUUGGAUACUGGCAGACUUGAGUACGGGAGAGGGAGGUGGAAUUCCGAGUGUAGGGGUGAAAUCCGUAGGAUAUCAGGGAA
rnacentral:rRNA from 1 species